rnacentral:misc_RNA from 1 species
GAUGAAGACGUAGCGAAAUGCGAUACGUAAUGUGAAUUGCAGAAUUCAGUGAAUCAUCGAAUCUUUGAACGCAUAUUGCGCUCUCUGGUAUUCCGGAGAGCAUGCUUGUUUGAGUAUCAGUAAACACCUCAACUCCCUUUUCUUUUUUGAAAUGGGAGCUGGACUUGAGUGAUCCCAACACUUUUCUCACUGGAAAGUGGCGGGUCACUUGAAAUGCAGGUGCAGCUGGACUUUUCUCUGAGCUAUAAGCAUAUCUAUUUAGUCUGCCUAAAAAACAGAUUAUUACCUUUGCUGCAGCUAACAUAAAGGAGAUGAGUUCUUGUGCUGACUGAUGCAGGAUUCACAGAGACAGCUUUGCGGCUGACUUUGUAAACUCGAUCUCAAAUCAAGUAAGACUACCCGCUGAACUUAAGCAUAUCAAUAAGCGGAGGA